UCCGGUUUGUCACCGGCGGUCUCCUUAGAGUUCCCACCAUUACGUGCUGGCAACUAAGGACAAGGGUUGCGCUCGUUGCGGGACUUAACCCAACAUCUCACGACACGAGCUGACGACAGCCAUGCACCACCUGUAUACCGACCACAAGGGGGGCCGUAUCUCUACGGCUUUCCGGUAUAUGUCAAACCCAGGUAAGGUGGGGAUGACGUUACACGCAAUAACA
rnacentral:misc_RNA from 1 species